AUGCCCCUUGGUAAUUGCAAGGACCAGGGAGCUCACAGCGGUGGUGACUUGGGACUGGGCAAGAGCGUGGAAUGCGGCGUCUGGGCCGAGACGCAGCUGCUCCUCUGUCCACAGCUGUCCCAGGUGCAGCUGCAGGAGUCAGGCCCUGGCCUGCUGAGGCCCGUGCAGACGCCGUCCCUCUCCUGUGCAGUCUCUGGUGACUCCGUCAGCAUGGUGACUGCGGAGCUGGACCCGACAGGCCUCAGGGAAAUGCUGGAGUGGACUGGACACAUCUAUAAACAUGGGAGUACCGCGUACAGCCCGAGCCUCCAGAGCAGAGUCACCAUGCCAGUGCACACCUCCAAGGACCAGUGUUCCCUGCAGCUGAGCUCUGUGACCACGGAGGACACGGCCUUGCACUACUGUGUAGGACACACUGAGGAGACCGGGUGUGAGCCCUGA